rnacentral:lncRNA from 1 species
UAAGACUUGUGGUGUCAAUCAAUAUAAAAUUGAAUCCAAAACAUUUUAUCAAAACACAAAUAAAAUUCAUUCACCAAGUAUGAUUAAAUCUAAACUUAAAAAGAGUAACGAGUAUAGCAAACGUUCUCUAUAUCUAUUAUUAUGCACCUAACAAAAUAACUCUUCAUCCUCAUGAAUUAGUUAUGCGAUUGAUCAUCGCCAAAGUUAUUUUCUUCGUCCUCAAUAGCAUCAUCUUCCUCAUCAGCAUUAUUCUCUAUUGACAAUGGUGUAAAUGAGGGCACAACAAAGCCAGGAACUUUA